UACGGAGGGUGCGAGCGUUGUCCGGAAUCACUGGGCGUAAAGGGCGCGUAGGUGGCGCGGGAAGUCAACGGUGAAAGUUCAGGGCUCAACCCUGAAUCGGCCGUCGAUACUCCCGGGCUUGAGCACUGUAGAGGCAGGUGGAAUUCCGGGUGUAGCGGUGGAAUGCGUAGAGAUCCGGAAGAACACCGGUGGCGAAGGCGGCCGUGCUGGGCAG
rnacentral:rRNA from 1 species